GUGGUCAGCGCCGGAUUUAAACUAAAUCCGUGGUGAAUGCCCCUGUGCGGAGGCGCGUACUGGUACCUAUCUUGCCUACAGGCUGUCCACGCGAGUAGAAAUGACCAGUUUUCUGCUCACCGGGAGGCACCCGGCACCACAUACAUACAACGACAUUCUAUUUCAUACUUUCUUUCCCUUAAGGCUGCCAUAGAUGGUGGCCUUUUUUUUACC
rfam:Trabulsiella guamensis ATCC 49490 GTGT.assembly.010, whole genome shotgun sequence.